AGUAAGAAUUUUUCCAUCACUAAAUUAGAGUCUCUCUUGCAGGAAAGCGCUCCCUUGCUCUCUCAAAUUUCGGUUGCUGGCUAAUUUUUAAGUGUAGACGAACGCCAUUUGACAACAAUUUUGAAUAAUUUGUAAUAGUUCGAAGGCGGCGUAAAAUAAGCUGUAGGUCCCAUCAAUUGUUGGAAAAAAAUCAAGACGCACACCACAAAUCCGAGGAGUAGCUCGGCCGCCAAUUGCAUUAACAGUUACAAAGUUCCAAACAUUUUUGCAUAUGAGUACCUAUGUGCAUACAUAAUUACAUGAGCAGAGGCUUUGCAGCAAUCAGCUCUAUAUUGUUGUCAACAAAAAAGUUAGAAUCAUUAUGCAAAUAGAUGCCGAGUGAAUAAGGCAUCAUCCAAUCCUUAGGGAUUAAUAUACUAUGUAUUGUGAAAAUAUCAAUGUUCAUACAUAUCGCAUCACGUCACCUGACAACAAUAUUGGUAUUCGAAGCAUGGGAGAAGCACCUUAGAACUUUAGCUGCAUCGGUGAAUGACAAUGGCAAUGAUAUGAUGCCAUCAUUUAUCAUUUCCCCGCCUUAAACAUCAUUAUACGGAGAGAAAAACCAUAUAAAAGUACGAAGUACGAAGUAAACGAGCAAUAUUUCAUUUUUAUGUACUUUUUUGUGUUUUUUUUUCAUUUUAUUUAAUUUAGAUAUUAUAUUUGGUAUUGUAAAAGAGAAGAUAGGUAAGCAAUGAUGAAUAGUCAUAACUAAGCUUCAAUCUUGUAGGCUUACU
rnacentral:misc_RNA from 1 species